AUUAAUAAAUACAAACAGUAUGGUACUCCAUGGUAAAACUGUCUGCAGGAGGCAGUUCGCAAAAACUAAGUGACCACAGAAGGAGAGAAGUGAGGGA